UAGAACAAAGAGUGAGAGUCCCCCCCU
rnacentral:piRNA from 1 species